GGCGCCGUGGCCAAGUGGUAAGGCUGAGGUCUGCAAAACCUUUACCCCCGGUCCGAAUCCGGGCGGUGCCUCCA
rnacentral:tRNA from 1 species